AUAUGUCUGUGUGUGUGUAUGAAUACAGUAUAUAGUGUGUGUAAGCAUGUGGAAAGACACUGCCACCUAUAAUGGCUAUUCCUGACAACAAACCUUUAAAUCGACCCCUGCCUUGAAAUAACUGACAACAAUGGAUGCUUGGGAUGUUGCGCAAGAUAUUUGUUCAUUGUGGCUGGAUUACCAGCUCAGGUUUGCAUUUUGUUCUAAUAAUUAAUUGGCCUGUCCUCAAUUAUUAUGUUGAUUGAUUUGAUUGAUUGACUGAUGGCUCUGAACAGUGUUCAGCAGCAGUGUCUCUAAUAAAGUGAAAAUGUAAUUACCUGCUUCAAGAACAGUGACGUUAUCACCUCCAUAAUAAAAACAAGCUCUUCAGUUUAUUUAUUUAUUUGAUAAAGCAGCAGGGAAUGGCUAAUAACAAAUUUCCGUGUUCAUAUAUUUCUGUGUGUGCAUUUACUGAGCACGCAAGAGAGAGAGCAUGCCUUAUAUAGAUAAUAAAACACAAUUUUGUGGGAAAAACAUGGAAACAAUUAGACAUUUUUAUUCUUUUGUUUGUUAUAUUUAUUUGCUUGCUCAGUGUUUUUGUGUAAUUUGGUUCUUUUGCUGUUGUAGACUGUAAGGCCCUCAGCAAAAGUUAUAUGUAACUCUAAUGUGUUUCACAAAUACGUACAGGUGCAAAUAACGUUGAUUGUGUUUACAGAUGGACAGAUCUAUCAGUCCAGUUUUUACUUUGUUUCCUCGGAGAGCAAGAGCUGGACUGAGAGCAGAAGAUUCUGUACAGAGAGAGGAGCAGAUCUGACCAUCAUAAACAAUAGAGAGGAACAAGAGUUCAUUAAAAAGAUUUCUGGUGGUGCUGGAGUUUGGAUUGGUGUGACUGACAGUGAUGUGGAGGGCAGAUGGAAAUGGGUUGAUGACACACUGACCUCUGGUUUCAGCUUUUGGGGGAUCGGAGAGCCAAAUGGGGGAAGACGAGAGAACUGUGUUGCCUCUUAUCCAACAGGGUGGUAUGAUUAUCCAUGUAGCGAUGCUUUUAAAUGGAUCUGUGAGAAAAUUUUUAAAAAAUGAGUAAAUACCCUCACCAGUUGUAAAUAAUGGCAUUUAAAAGAUGAUGUCUUAUUACAAUUAAUAAAACAAUGAUGAGUCCAAAUGAGGAGUUCACGCUGUCUAAACAACAGCAGCUUCAACUCAGACCAACAGUGUCUCUUCUGUCCUGGAUUCUCAGAAUAAAAGGUACAAAAACCGCCACUGGGCUGGUACCCUUUUAAAAGGUACUAAUAUAUAGCAUUAUAUAUAGUAAUAUGUACAAUUCAGUUAAUAUGUAACUUUAAGGCACAAAUAUGCAUCCUUUAGAGAUAAAUAAGGGGUAAAUAAGCUUUUGUACAAUUUCCAUGGAGAGUUUAAAGACACAAAUGUCUAGACCCUGCAGUCUAUCCUGAACCUCAAAUGUCAUCAGGUGCUCUGUUCCUGAAGUGUAGGUACUGAUGAAAACUAUUCAAAUCAGAAAGACCUACAUAGAGAUACAUCCAGCAUUAGUUCGCCAUGACUGUCUCAAGAAGAACCUUCUGUAAAUGUUUGAGAAUGCUGCUGGGUUUUGUGAAGUGAUGUUAAAAUACUUGUCUUCUACAUGACCUAAACAUGGAAGUGGCACUGAGGGACAGAGAAACCACAGUGCUUUCAAUCUCAACUUUACCGGCAUAUGCUGUUAGUAGUUACAAUCAACAGCUUCUGUGGAACAGAAGAUGCUUUCAAGAUUUAAAAGUUGGAAAGUGGAGAUUUCAAGCCUAAAAAAGAACACAAAAUCACCAUUAGAAGUAGCUUCAAAUUGAUACUUUUAGAUCCUCAAAUAGUUGGCCCCAUUCACCUUUGCAACUGCAAGUGCCUCACCAUCAGGGGCUUCGCUAGGGAUUCUGGGCCCCUUGUAUAGGUUAUUGCUUCAGGCCCCCCUGAAACUGUUUCACCAUUACCCCCCGUCCAAUGCCCCUGGUCACCGUAACCUGGUGUUUUAAGCAUAGACUGUAAAAAAAAAAUGGACGUAGUGUCCGUGACAUCACCCGUAGGUUUCUGUAAAGCGUUUUUGAAGCCUAAAGUGGGCGGAGCCGACCGCCGCCAUCUUGGAAUCGCGUCACCGCGCGUCACUCCCCGAUAAUCGAAAAUGGGCAAAAAGGCGGGACGUGGGUGAAGCUGAGCUGAAACCACGCCCGUCAUGCAAAGACAAAACACCAUAAUUUCAUUUUUGGUCGACAAUUAGUUAUUGAUCAUUUUGGGACAUUAAUGACCUCCUUUAUCAUGUGUUUAAGUAUCAUGGAGAAAAGCCCCGGAGAAGCCAAGGCAGAACACAGUAUAACAUCAGUUACUGCUCAGUUACUUUGUUUUGGAAAGCUCAGAUAAGUUACAGUGCUCUGCAUAUGUUUGCAUUCGUUCGUCAAUACUGUGCCAGCCUGGAGUUACACGGUAUUCUGCCUUUGUUUUACUGUCCAUUAAAGUCUACCGCGUUUAUUGUGUACUUCUAUAUCUGUCGGCACUUCAUUAGACAAACAAAUGAGAGAGAGACCGCGAUCUAACAAACUGCUCCAUAUAACAAAGCACUGUAAGCAAUAACGAUUAAAACAUCUAAUUGCCAGAUUCCCAGUGUCCUACCUAUAAUUAUUUUCUCUGUAAAAAUACAAAUCUUUAAAGCCAGUUUUCUAAGUUUCGCACUAGUGAGUUUCACACUCUGGAUCAGAGCUCGAGGCAGUCCAACUGUCACUCAAGUAGCCACGCCCUUAAUUAUGC